GAUGAACGCUGGCGGCGUGCCUAAUACAUGCAAGUCGAGCGAACGGACGAGAAGCUUGCUUCUCUGAUGUUAGCGGCGGACGGGUGAGUAACACGUGGAUAACCUACCUAUAAGACUGGGAUAACUUCGGGAAACCGGAGCUAAUACCGGAUAAUAUUUUGAACCGAAUGGUUCAAAAGUGAAAGACGGUAUUGCUGUCACUUAUAGAUGGAUCCGCGCUGCAUUAGCUAGUUGGUAAGGUAACGGCUUACCAAGGAAACGAUGCAUAGCCGACCUGAGAGGGUGAUCGGCCACCCUGGAACUGAGACACGGUCCAGACUCCUACGGGAGGCAGCAGUAGGGAAUCUUCCGCAAUGGGCGAAAGCCUGACGGAGCAACGCCGCGUGAGUGAUGAAGGUCUUCGGAUCGUAAAACUCUGUUAUUAGGGAAGAACAUAUGUGUAAGUAACUGUGCACAUCUUGACGGUACCUAAUCAGAAAGCCACGGCUAACUACGUG
rnacentral:rRNA from 1 species